GACGAACGCUGGCGGCGUACCUAAUACAUGCAAGUAGAACGCUGAAGGAGGAGCUUGCUUCUCUGGAUGAGUUGCGAACGGGUGAGUAACGCGUAGGUAACCUGCCUGGUAGCGGGGGAUAACUAUUGGAAACGAUAGCUAAUACCGCAUAAGAGUAGAUGUCGCAUGACAUUUGCUUAAAAGGUGCAAUUGCAUCACUACCAGAUGGACCUGCGUUGUAUUAGCUAGUUGGUGAGGUAACGGCUCACCAAGGCAACGAUACAUAGCCGACCUGAGAGGGUGAUCGGCCACACUGGGACUGAGACACGGCCCAGACUCCUACGGGAGGCAGCAGUAGGGAAUCUUCGGCAAUGGACGGAAGUCUGACCGAGCAACGCCGCGUGAGUGAAGAAGGUUUUCGGAUCGUAAAGCUCUGUUGUAAGAGAAGAACGAGUGUGAGAGUGGAAAGUUCACACUGUGACGGUAUCUUACCAGAAAGGGACGGCUAACUACGUG
rnacentral:rRNA from 1 species